UAGUGGCGAACGGGUGAGUAACGCGUGGGAACCUACCUUGGAGCGGGGGACAACGUGGGGAAACCCACGCUAAUAUCGCAUACGCCCUACGGGGGAAAGGAGGGGAUCUUCGGACCUUUCGCUAUGAGAUGAGCCUGCGUUAGAUUAGCUAGUUGGUAGGGUAAAGGCCUACCAAGGCGACGAUCUAUAGCUGGUCUGAGAGGACGAUCAGCCACACUGGGACUGAGACACGGCCCAGACUCC
rnacentral:rRNA from 1 species